GGCUGUUUGUUCUCUUACUGUCGAGUUUUAAGAGUCCUUUGCAUAUUUUGGAUAACAGUCCUUUAUCAGAUGUUUUAAAAAAAUUUUGU